UACAGAGACUGCAAGCGUUAUUCGGAUUCACUGGGCGUAAAGGGUGCGCAGGCGGCCGUGUGUGUGAGGCGUGAAAGCCCGGGGCUCAACCCCGGAAUUGCACCUCAAACUACAUGGCUAGAGCAUUGGAGAGGGUAGCGGAAUUCACGGUGUAGCAGUGAAAUGCGUAGAUAUCGUGAGGAACACCAGAGGCGAAGGCGGCUACCUGGACAAUUGCUGACGCUCAGGCACGAAAGCGUGGGGGGCAAAAGGG
rnacentral:rRNA from 1 species